GAGACACCAGGUUCUGGAGAGGCAGUGGCAGAGGGAACUCUGAAUCUGGCCCCUGGCCUCGGAGCCCCAGCACCUUGGACUCGGGCUGUCUGUGCCGAGACCUUGUCUGUAGAGGCUGACCUGGCGAGCUUAAGGGAAUCUUUCCAUCUGAAAAUUGCUUCAGCAUAUAGUUCACCUGGACAUGGAAAGAAGCAGGACCAUGGGUCCUUUGCUUCACUAGAGAAAUGACCUGGUUAUUUUGAGGUCAUACCAUGGCUGUAGGGGCGGAAGGAAACUCAUCAGCCCAGGAGAAACUCCCAGCAUCCUCUAAAGGAAACCCUCGGAGGUCAGGAAGACGUCAAGGGGAGGUGGAGACUGGGGCAAAGUGGUGAGCAUAUAUCCUAUCUGAGGGGAAGCUGCUGUUCUGCUCUGAUUUCUGCCAAGGAGGAAUACAGAGUCAAGAAAAGAUGCCCGGGCUGGGGCUAAAUGAGAGGGUGGAUUGAGAGGCAUGAGAAGGAAAGAAAGGCACUCAACUCUAAAAUCAUCUCAAGAUCCUAAAUAUGAAAAUGCCUGUUCAUUUCACAGAAACACUUGCCGGCAAAAUCGCUGGCGUCUGACUUCCCCAGAAAUCCAUUGUACGUAUUUUGCUGUAGCUUGGAUCCCACAUGGCGGCCUCUUGUCUAGGUGUGUGACCUUGGCCGAGUCAUCUAGAUCCCCGGCGCUGCCAUAUGCUCAUCAGUAAGAGGGAGAGAGUAAGCGUCCUGCCUCAGCAGGGCUGUUUGAGGGUGAAGACGUUAGUACAUUUUUUCCAUUUAAGUUAAAGCCUGCAGAAAGCACAGAAAGACAUUUUCCUGUGAGGAUGCCGCUCAAGAAUGCCUGUCAACCCUAAGGUCAUGAAUUAGAGCUGUGAGGUGUGAUGUUGCCCCAAAGAACAUGGAGAUUCCAGGACAAGGAAACCACAUAACAGAGCGUCUCUGGUCAGUCAGUCAGAAGCCAGAAGGCUAGAGAGCUCUUUGUCACCGCGCAGCGGGAAUUGCAGCGUCGAGAAGGCUUGCAUCUGCGCUCCGUGGCUUCAAGCUUCUGGAUUGUCCACUGGAGGAAACAAAGGCAUGAAGCAUCUAUUUUCUGCAAUCGGCAGAGAACAAGACCGACCAGGCCCCAGCCCCGUGGGGGUUACGUGAGAGCAGGGACAGUACACCACUGCGUACACAGAAGGGAAUCGUGGCUGAUAAGAAGGCAGAGGCCGCAGGGAAGGCAGCCCUUGGAGGACAGGCACUGGCCGACGGGCACUGGGCGUUGGGCCCUCCGCCCCUGCCCGUUGCCCGUUUUGGGCUGCCGUUGCAGGGGAUGUGUGCAAACUGUCUACUAACAGUAUUCGUUUUCCUGUAGGCCUGGAAGAGCCAGCUCAGAACUGAAUUGGAGCUGAAGAUGACUGAGCGGAUUAAAGUUCGGGAUGGAGCCCACUACAUCCACAUUGCAAGAAGCAGAAUGGAGGGAACAAACUUGCAUUCAAGUCCUUUGAAUAGCAGGCGAGCACUGUAAUAUGGAAGAUAAACAUGCAAAACGGAACCGUCAAGAAAUACCUUCUAGAGCCCACACAUCCGCAUGGAGCUUCCGCUCCCUCCAUCUUAACCCUCCUCUCUCUCCCAGCCACCACCGCCAUGUUGCAGGGCUGGUCUGAUGGCCAUAGAUGGGAGCUUCCUGAUCCUUUCUCUCUGGCAUUUGGAGCCCCCCUCUUCCAUGCUGACUCCCCAUGGGCAAGGGGAAUCUCCAGCUCCUUCAGAGGAAAGCUUCCUCCCGUAUGGGGAAGCUGGCAAGAGAGCGGUAAGCACACCCCCCAAGUCUGGGAGCCUCUGCUCAGUCACUCCAAUGUUGGGGGGGCUUCCUACUCCACAGUGCCCCCCAAGCUUGGAGGGGGAUAAUGGGGGUAGGGGGAGACAGCCAGCACUUCCCUCUCUGGAGCCAGUCCCAUGAGGAAGACCAUUUCUUACCUCCCAGGAUCAAAGCUACUGGAGCAACUGCUUGAUCAGAAAGACACAUCUCUGCCAGGGAGCCAGGAAUACUUCUAGCGAAAUGCUAAGUUUAGAAAUGAACUCCUUUUCCCUCAAAGGCUUCAGUCUGGCUACCCACCCACUCAAUUUGGAGACCUUCCCACCAGGCUACUGUGUGAUCCUGGACAAGUUACAUAGCCACUCUGGGCCUGUUCCCACACCCCUGGAAUGAGGUUACUGACAGACCCUCAGCGGAGCCCUUGGGAAGCUCUCCAGAGGGAGGGCUGUCAAGUGCUGGCUUAGCACGGCCCACGGCUGACGCCCCACCCCACCGUGUAGCUUUUGUAAUUACUGGUACUAAGCAACAGUAAACAACUCAAGGUGAGGAACCUGUCUCUGGAAAUGCCACCCUUUUAGGACUUCCUCCAAGAGCAGAGGGCUCCUUCCAGAAUAAAGGGGAAGACUAUUUGCACCUUCAAAGGCAGAAAGAGCAUCUCACCCUCUUCAAGACUCUGAAAAUCUGAACCUUACCUCAGGAGUGGCUAUAUACUUUGCUAGCAGGCCCCCUUGUUCUAAAAUUAUUAAGCCCGUGAAGACUACAAGGCCGGGUUAGGAAACAGUGGGGGGCGGCUGACUGCACAGGCCACACGCCCACGACGCUGGCCUUGCCUGCCUCCAGCUGCAGAACGAGGAGUCGGAUGGAAACCAGCAGGUUGCAACAGAGACCGUGAAAACACCUGCAGACACACGGUAGUCAGCUUUUUCACUCGGCAGCCCACACAGUCGUAGUAUUACCAAGUCCUUGCUGUGAACAGAGACAGCGUCUCAUCAACCCAACCCACCCUUGCCUUGUGGAGAAGAUGGAAAACCAAGAAUCAGAGCUGGUAGGGGACCAGCCCGUAUCAGUCACCUGCCAGCACCUGUGCCCACUCGCGCCAGGAGUGUUCCCCAUGACUGUCCUCUAAAUUGGACGGAGGGUAGGUGCAGUGGCUUCUGGAAAUGCUCCCAGACGCCUCCUUUGUGCAAAGCAAGGGGUCACAAGUCUAGUUUCCAUCCUUGGGCCUGACUUCCCCCCUCGUACCUUGCCCUGCCCCCUGCCCCUCAUUUCUCAGAACCCACGUGAUUCCCCUAGUUCCCUGAGGACAUUUCCCCUCUGCCCCCACCGCCACCCCGCCCCAGGGCUGUCACUCGCCCAGGACAGGACUAUAUUUACAUCUUUAUUUGUUUUGCUUUUAAUGACCUGGGGUAGAAUCGAAACUCUUUUCUGGUGGUGAAAGAUGGGGGGUCUUCACCCUUCCCGUCAGCUGAGCCAGAACAGAACUCACACAUCCGGCUGAGCGCAGCAGCUAGGCACAACUGGCUUCUAACCGUGGCUCCCCCAGGCCUUAGCCUGGCCUUUCUGUGCCUCCCUUCAAAUGGGGAUAAUCACAGUGUAGUCUUUGCAAGGCUGGUGUGAGCCAUCAUCAUUAUUAUCUCCUCAUCACUGUGAUAUGUUGAGAACUCGUGGGAGUUCUUGGAGAGUGUCACGGCUGAAUGCAGAGAUGCUGAAACCAGGUUGCCUAUUUCUAAACCCGCCGCAGCACUAAUAGCUGUGUGACUUUGGUUAAGGGGUUGACCUCUCUGGGCCUCGUUUCCACAUUUUCCAUGGACAGCGAGACUGAGUUAGCGAUGGUCUGGAGACUCCAUCGGACCGAUGAGAUUUAAGGCCAGGACUGGGCUGGGACCAUCAGGGAAAAGAAAUAUUCCCUCCAUUGUGUGGCUGAGCUAGCAAGAUCUGAACCUGGAAUUGCGGGGUCAUCUUGCUGACCCCCGGAGGAAAGCCUGCCUGAAAGUGAAGAUUACCCAGAGGGAAGCAGAUAGGAGAACUGAGGAGAGGAGAGCCAUGGUGACAUCGUCUGAGCCCCUGGAUGUGUCCAUGCCUGCACCAAGCCACCUUUGGACUUCCCAGUUUCGGGAGCCAGCAAAAUCCCCCUUUGUGAAGGCCACUUUCAGUUGGGUUUUUCUCGUUGGAAAACAUGAAGGAGGUUAAGCAACUUGCCUGCGCGGCCUGAGUGCUGUAAGCAGCCGACUCAGAAUUUGGAAGCUGCUCGUUCCCUGUGGCCACUGUGCUGUUCUCUAGGUGGGCAUUCGAGGGUGGCCAUCGAUUCACCCCUUUCCCUGCUUUGAGCAGCCAUUUUUCAUCUGCAAGAUGGGCUAACUCCAGGCUGCCGGGCCGUUGGGAAACAAAUGCGAGCAACACUGUGGUCUGGUGUUGACUGUGCUGGAAGCGGAGGCUCUGCACAGCCAGGACUGUGACCCUGUUGGUGACUCCAGCUCAGGGUUAUCUUUGGCUGACCCCACGUCAGUCAGCCGUCAAGGCGCCCACACUCUGUCGGAGAGCGUGUGUGACUCUGAGGGGUGGUCUCUUCCUGACUGUGUCCUCAGUGGUGGCAGAGCGUGACCCUGAGGACCCUCAAACUCGGAAUCUAUGAGAUGGAAGGAGGCCUUGUUGCCUUGUUUUCUGGAACCUUCUGAGGACUCACAGGCUCAUUUAGCAAUAACCUGUCAGUCAAGGAAGACAGCAUUGAACCAAAUUGACUCGGUGUCUUUUUUUCAUGAAAUUUACAUUAAUGGUGGAGAUGGAAGAUAAACAUAAAUCAGACACAUAACACAAUACCACGCAGCAACACUAGGGAGAGGAUGUGUCCGCCGAUGGCUGGGGAGGAGAGCUGGAAGGGUGACAGGCAGACAGCAGGGGUCAGGGGGCAUCUCUGAGCUAGUGAAUUUCAUCAGACAUCCAGUUUGGCCUCACUCUGGAUCCCAAAUUCUUACGCUGCAUUCUCUCCCAGGAAUAAAACCAGGACUAAUUUUACCAGGAAACUUGCUGACAAGGUUAAGAGUCAAUGAUCCAUUGCAGAUGUGGUAAACAGCCAUUCUUCCCCACUGACAACUCUUUAGGACAUUUUAGAAAGUUAAAUGGGUCAUUGAUUUCCUCCAUUAGCUAAAUCCAAGAAGGAAAGGCCCAAGAAACUGUGUGAGGCCAUUCCCCAGGCAGGGCUGCCGGGAAAAGGUUUUAGCAAUCAUAACAUAGGGCCAUUUGCUUAUUUUAUAACUAGUCAUCACUCCAAAGAUUCCCCCAUCACCAGCAUCAUGUCUCUGGGGGACACCAGAGCCUGGCUGGUUCUAGGCCAGCCCUCAGCAGAACUGGUGGAGUUUUACAAAUGAACAAAAGCUGUGUUUUGCAAGCCACAAGCGGCUUGAACAUCUCUGGUCCCUCCUCCCCAAACAAAUGUCAGAUGCUUGGGACACAGACAGGAAGUUGAGGUCCCCACCCCAUGGAACACCACAGUGAGGAACAGAGGAAGCAAGUCAACUGCUACCGAGCAGGGGAACUUUGCACAGAGAUGAGUGUCUUGAUACACAAAGCCAGGUUUGUGGUCGAGAGGAAAUGGGGCGAUGUUAGGUGAUCAGAGAAGUCGAGUCUGCAGAGAUGACAUUAGACCGGAGACCUGAAGGAUGAGAUCUACAAGAAGAAUGGUUCAGCCAGAAAGUCCCGCUGGUGCAAAAGUCCUGAGGUAGACUGGCCUGGCGCAGAGUCAGAGGAGAUGGUUGCGAGGUGGGAGCGGCCAGAGUUGGGAAUUACUUGGCUUUCAUUCUAGGAAGGUUAGAUUUUACAGAGGAGCUUCAUGAUUCAAAUAUUAAAAACUCGCUCUGACUACUGGUAAGAAGAGAUGGAAAGGCCAUUAGCUGAUACUUCAAGUGAAGGGUUUCAUCAGGAUCAAAAUUUUGUGACACUAUUUCACACUCUGACACUGUUGUAGGUUGACUGGGGGACCCCAAAGAGCUAAAUUCUUGGAUUACUCAAAAUGAACUGUUCUUGGAUUACUUGGGAUUGCCGAUCACCCCAGAAUGGGGUGGGCCCUAAAACCAGUAAUAAUUGUCCUUGUUUGAGAGCACUGGGGGGAAAUCAGACCCAUGGAGAAGAGGAAACAGAGGAGACGACUAUGGAAAGAAGGAGGCAGAGACUGGAGAUGUGUUCCCACAAGCCAAGAGGCGUCUGACACCUUGGCAGCUGGGAGAAGCAAGAAAGGAUUUUCUAUGAGGGCCUGAAGAAGGUGUAAGGCCCUGUCAGCACCUUGAUGUUGGAUUUCUGUCAUCCAGACUGUUCAGAGAUAAAUUACCAUUGUUCUAAGCGACCAGAUUUGCGGUAAUUUAUUAUGGCAGCCCUAGGAAACUAACACAGCCAUACAACAUCCUGGGCUGCUUUAGCCCCCC